GAUGAAGAACGUAGCGAAAUGCGAUACGUAAUGUGAAUUGCAGAAUUCAGUGAAUCAUCGAGUCUUUGAACGCACAUUGCGCCCCCUGGUAUUCCGGGGGGCAUGCCUGUCCGAGCGUCAUUGCUGCCCUCAAGCACGGCUUGUGUGUUGGGCCUCCGUCCUCCUCCCGGGGGACGGGCCCGAAAGGCAGCGGCGGCACCGCGUCCGGUCCUCGAGCGUAUGGGGCUUCGUCACCCGCUCUUGUAGGCCCGGCCGGCGCUUGCCGACACAUCAAUCUUUUUUCCCGGUUGACCUCGGAUCAGGUAGGGAUACCCGCUGAACUUAAGCAUAUCAAUAAGCGGAGGA
rnacentral:misc_RNA from 1 species